GACUUUGUCCACUCCAGGUAUCCUAACAUCUUAACAGUCUCUUUGCUGGAAAGAAAUCUUCAGUGGCUCCCAUUACCUACGGAUCCAGCCUGGCUUUUUAGUCCAGCAUUCAAGACCUGUCAAGCUCUUCUGCAUCCUCUCGUAUGCAUGUGAUAGACAGGCACUCCACCUAGCGAAGUACAACCAUCCCAAACUUAUUCCUAUUACUUUUCUUCCAUUCAUUCGUUCAUACAAUCAAUCAGUCAUCAUUGAGGAUUUAUUAGACGAUAGGUUCUGGAGACAAAAAGGUAGAUAAAUACGACGCAGUCUUUGCUUUUGAGGACUGUAUCCCAGAUACAUCUGACUGGUUGUUCCUGCUGAAACAUUUUUCCACCUCCAUGCUUUUGCAUACACUACUUUCUCCACCUGGAAGACCCUCUCUGCAUUUCUGAACAUGCACUUUUAUUAACUGUCCACAGCUGCAGUGAGGCCUUCUUCAUGAAGCCUCUCCCAGUUCUCCGCCUCACCCCACCAAGCUGGAACUGAUCGCAGCCUCCAAACUCCCACAGCAAUCCUUUGCCUCCUCUUCUGACGCUACUCUUUCUCUCUUGGAUGAAAGCCGUGUGUAUCCAUGUUGGUUCUCCACUUCUAGAACCUGUCGUUUUGGGGCUGCAGGACUUGGUGGAUUCACACUGGCAUCCCCUCAGGAAGCAGGAAUCAUGUUUACAAAGCAUUCCCUUGGCAAGAGGCUGUCUAUAGGAUCCAGAUGGUCUGACCCCAAGUCAGAUGUCCUUUAUAACCUUGCUUUUAUGGUCCUCUGACCAGCAGCAUUAACAUCACCCUCACCUGGGAGCUCAUUAGGAAUGCAGAAUCUCGGGCCUCAUCCCUGAUCCACUGAAUUGGAAUCUGCAUCUUAACAAGAUCCUCAGGCAAUCUGUAAGCAUAUGCAUGGUUGAGAAGCACUGCUGUACAACACUUUGUAACAAUCUCUCUUGUCCAAGAGCGGGGACGAAGCUAGCUGUGAAAGCUAACACAGGUCUCAGGUGUUCUUCUUCCUGCAAGUGAGGGUUGGACAGCCCAAGCCAUGCUUCGCCUGGGCCCUGAGGAGGCCUCACCCCCCACUCCCCAUGGCAGCAACAUUCUCCUUGAGCCUUCCUUGGUGGUCCGAUGUCAGCAUCUUGCCAAUCCAGGCGAAGGCAUCAUGCCACACUGACAGAUGGCCCAAAGUAGGACAGACAGAAGAAAUGUAUGUUUAUCAAAUUUGGGUUGAAAAGACCACGUUCCCCCAGCAUAGGCUGUCAAACAGCUGUCAUUCAGGAGCAUAUGGCCCAGCGGUGAGAGGGCACAGACACAGCUAAUCCCACUCUUAGAGAGAUUAGCUCUGACGAGUGAAGAAAGUUGCGGCUGUCGCCAGGGUGCUGCCUGGGAGGAGAGGGUGGAGGGUCUGCAUUGUGGUUCAUUUCCCGAAUCACCUUCCCUGUGAUCGAGGCUCCUGUCUGCCAAAAAGAAGCCAGAAUGAAAUGAUGCUGUAGAAAUAACUAUGACAGUAAUAAUAAUAAAUCUACCAUUUAUCAACC
ensembl:lncRNA novel transcript